GAUGAAGAACGUAGCGAAAUGCGAUAAGUAGUGUGAAUUGCAGAAUUCAAUGAAUCAUCGAAUCUUUGAACGCACAUUGCGCCCCUUGGUAUUCCAUGGGGCAUGCCUGUUCGAGCGUCAUUUGUACCUUCAAGCUUUGCUUGGUGUUGGGUGUUUGUCUCGCCUUUGCGUGUAGACUCGCCUUAAAAUAAUUGGCAGCCGGCGUAUUGAUUUCGGAGCGCAGUACAUCUCGCGCUUUGCACUCAUAACGACAGCGUCCAAAAGUACAUUUUACACUCUUGACCUCGGAUCAGGUAGGGAUACCCGCUGAACUUAAGCAUAUCAAUAAGCGGAGGA
rnacentral:misc_RNA from 1 species